rnacentral:rRNA from 1 species
CUUAGGAGGGAGACACCCCCGGGAACUGGGGCUAAUCCCUGAUAGGCGAGGAAGCCUGGAAUGGUUCUUCACCCAAAAGGCGUUGAAACCAUGCUUUUCAACGUCGCCUAAGGAUGGGGCCGCGACCGAUCAGGUUGUUGGUGAGGUAACGGCUCACCAAGCCUAUAACCGGUACGGGCCGUGAGAGCGGGAGCCCGGAGAUGGGCACUGAGACAAGGGCCCAGGCCCUACGGGGCGCAGCAGUCGCGAAAACUCCGCAAUGCGCGAAAGCGUGACGGGGCUACCCCGAGUGCCGUCCGCUGAGGAUGGCUUUUCCCCGGUGUAAUGAGCCGGGGGAAUAAGGAGAGGGCAAGUCUGGUGUCAGCCGCCGCGGUAAUACCAGCUCUCCGAGUGGUAGGGACGAUUAUUGGGCUUAAAGCGUCCGUAGCCGGCCUCUCAAGUCUUUCGUUAAAUCCAGCGAUUCAAUCGUUGGACUGCUGGAGAUACUGUUAGGCUAGGGGGCGGGAGAAGCCGACGGUAUUUUCGGGGUAGGGGUAAAAUCCUAUAAUCCCGGGAAGACCACCAGUGGCGUAGGCGGUCGGCUAGCACGCGCUCGACGGUGAGGGACGAAAGCUGGGGGAGCGAACCGGAUUAGAUACCCGGGUAGUCCCAGCUGUAAACGAUGCGGGCUAGGUGUUGGAGCGGCUACGAGCCGCUUCAGUGCCGCAGGGAAGCCAUUAAGCCCGCCGCCUGGGGAGUACGGCCGCAAGGCUGAAACUUAAAGGAAUUGGCGGGGGAGCAC